rnacentral:rRNA from 1 species
GAUGAACGCUGGCGGCGUGCCUAAUACAUGCAAGUCGAGCGAACAGACGAGGAGCUUGCUCCUCUGACGUUAGCGGCGGACGGGUGAGUAACACGUGGAUAACCUACCUAUAAGACUGGGAUAACUUCGGGAAACCGGAGCUAAUACCGGAUAAUAUAUUGAACCGCAUGGUUCAAUAGUGAAAGACGGUUUUGCUGUCACUUAUAGAUGGAUCCGCGCCGCAUUAGCUAGUUGGUAAGGUAACGGCUUACCAAGGCAACGAUGCGUAGCCGACCUGAGAGGGGGAUAGGCCACACUGGAACUGAGACACGGUCCAGACUCCUACGGUAGGCAGCAGUAGGGAAUCGUCCGCAAUGGGCGAAAGCCUGACGGAGCAACGCCGCGUGAGUGAUGAAGGUCUUCGGAUCGUAAAACUCUGUUAUUAGGGAAGAACAAAUGUGUAAGUAACCAUGCACGUCUUGACGGUACCUAAUCAGAAAGCCACGGCUAACUACGUG